UACAGAGGUCCCAAGCGUUGUUCGGAUUCAUUGGCGUAAAGGGUGUGUAGGUGGCGCCUGUAAGUCGGGUGUGAAAUCUCGGGGCUUAACUCCGAAACUGCAUUCGAUACUUGCGGUGCUUGGAGGACUGGAGAGGAGGACUGGAAUUCGAUGGUGUAGGCAGUGAAAAUGCGUAGAGAUCAUGAGGAAGACCAGUGGCGAAGGCGGGGUCGUCAUCGGACG
rnacentral:rRNA from 1 species